rnacentral:rRNA from 1 species
UACAAAGGGGGCAAGCGUUAAUCGGAAUUACUGGGCGUAAAGCGUGCGUAGGUGGUUUGUUAAGUCAGGCGUGAAAUCCUCGGGCUCAACCCGGGAACUGCGCUUGAUACUGACAGACUCGAGUGUGGUAGAGGAUAGUGGAAUUCCCGGUGUAGCGGUGAAAUGCGUAGAUAUCGGGAGGAACAUCAGUGGCGAAGGCGGCUAUCUGGACCAACACUGACACUGAGGUACGAAAGCGUGGGUAGCAAACAGG